rnacentral:rRNA from 1 species
UACGUAGGGGCAAGCGUUGUCCGGAAUCAUUGGGCGUAAAGCGCGUGUAGGCGGCUCGAUAAGUCUGCUGUGAAAGUUCAGGCUCAACCCUGAAAUGCCGGUGGAAACUGUCGGGCUAGAGUCCGGAAGAGGCGAGUGGAAUUCCUGGUGUAGCGGUGAAAUGCGCAGAUAUCAGGAGGAACACCAAUGGCGAAGGCAGCUCGCUGGGACGGUACUGACGCUGAGACGCGAAAGCGUGGGGAGCAAACAGG